rfam:Verruconis gallopava strain CBS 43764 unplaced genomic scaffold supercont1.11, whole genome shotgun sequence.
GGUAGCAUGGCCGAGCGGUUAAGGCGCCAGAUUGUGAGUGAUUCUGAAGUCUGGUCUGGGUGGAUGUACUAACGGCCGGCAGUAAGUCUUUACUUCAGCCAAUGAGAAGUGUUAUGACUCUGGUCACGAGAGUGUCGAGGGUUCGAAUCCCUCUGCUACCA